GCGGCUCAAAGGGAGAGUGUCUGCUCUGCGUGCAGAAGACCACUGCUUCAAUCCCAGGCAUGGGCU
rnacentral:tRNA from 1 species